rnacentral:rRNA from 1 species
UACGGAGGAUGCGAGCGUUAUCCGGAUUUAUUGGGUUUAAAGGGUGCGCAGGCGGCACGGCAAGCCGGCGGUCAAAUCGCGGGGCUCAACCCCGCCCAGCCGUCGGAACUGCCGGGCUAGAGUGGGCGAGAAGUACGCGGAAUGCGUGGUGUAGCGGUGAAAUGCAUAGAUACCACGCAGAACUCCGAUUGCGAAGGCAGCGUACCGGCGCCCAACUGACGCUGAAGCACGAAGGCGUGGGUAUCGAACAGG